GACGAACGCUGGCGGCGUGCUUAACACAUGCAAGUCGAACGGAAAGGCCUCUUUCGGGGGGUACUCGAGUGGCGAACGGGUGAGUAACACGUGAGUAACCUGCCCUUGACUUUGGGAUAACUUCAGGAAACUGGGGCUAAUACCGGAUAGGAGCUCCUGCUGCAUGGUGGGGGUUGGAAAGUUUCGGCGGUUGGGGAUGGACUCGCGGCUUAUCAGCUUGUUGGUGGGGUAGUGGCUUACCAAGGCUUUGACGGGUAGCCGGCCUGAGAGGGUGAUCGGCCACAUUGGGACUGAGAUACGGCCCAGGCUCCUACGGGAGGCAGCAGUGGGGAAUAUUGCACAAUGGGUGGAAGCCUGAUGCAGCAACGCCGUGUGCGGGAUGACGGCCUUCGGGUUGUAAACCGCUUUCGCUCAUGACGAAGCUUUGUGUGACGGUAGUGGGUAAAGAAGCACCGGCUAACUACGUG
rnacentral:rRNA from 1 species